UACGGGGGGGGUAAGCGUUGUUCGGAAUUACUGGGCGUAAAGGGCGCGUAGGCGGCCUUCUAAGUCAGACGUGAAAUCCCUCGGCUCAACCGGGGAACUGCGUCUGAGACUGGAAGGCUUGAAUCCGGGAGAGGGAUGUGGAAUUCCAGGUGUAGCGGUGAAAUGCGUAGAUAUCUGGAGGAACACCGGUGGCGAAGGCGGCAUCCUGGACCGGUAUUGACACUGAGGCGCGAAAGCCAGGGGAGCAAACGGG
rnacentral:rRNA from 1 species